GCCAAACGGGCUCGUUUCCCCGCUGAGCUACUCAAUUACCCAAGGAGGCACGGAGCAAGAAGACGGGUACCAAACUUUUAUUAUCAGUCAGCUGAGCGGGUGCUUUUCCUCGGCUAGUGCCAGAGGGAAAAGACACCCCUUAACUAAAAUGGGCUACACAGGCA